ensembl:snoRNA
AAGCAACACUCUGUGGCAGAUGAACAAAACUGUCUGACACAAUUUGGGCUUGCUAUAGCAAGAAAGUCUAACCUAUUCCGGUGUUCUCGGCCCCGUGAGACACCCCGUUAUAUAGGCUCAAACAAU